GUUUUUGAAACCAAGUAAAUUUAUGUCAUUUUACAGGUAUUGGUCCUGAGUUUCAGGACAUUCAGCUGUCUCUUUUAUUGAGCAUAGAUAACUCUGGACUUGUCUCCUUCAUAGGUUCUAGAAUAUGUCUUGGGACCAGGACAUCAGAUCGAGAUUGUUUGAGCCAUUCUGUCCCUGAUGAAAAGAGCUUUACCACACCCUCAGUGCAAACUGCUUCUUUCCUACUUCUCUAGUAGCACAGAUGAAAUUGAGAGGAUGUCCAUCACAGGUGUACACAGCAAAGAUAUACUUGUAAUCCGUCAAUAGAAAAAUGACACCAUCUGUUGGCAAUGUAGAAAAUGACACUGAAGAUGUCACUGAGGGUCAGGUGUUAAAUCCAAAAUUACAGAGAGGUCUGACUGUUGCUAGGGUAUAAAGAAUGCCAAUUGUAAACAGAAAAAUGAAUAUCUAUAAGUUC
rnacentral:lncRNA from 1 species